UGGAUCCAGACUUUGAUUAUGGCUCAGGAUGAACGCUAGCUACAGGCUUAACACAUGCAAGUCGAGGGGAAACGAUAGAGAAAGCUUGCUUUUUCUAGGCGUCGACCGGCGCACGGGUGAGUAACGCGUAUCCAACCUGCCCAUCACUUGGGGAUAACCUUGCGAAAGUAAGACUAAUACCCAAUGACGUCUCUAGAAGACAUCUGAAAGAGAUUAAAGAUUUAUCGGUGAUGGAUGGGGAUGCGUCUGAUUAGCUUGUUGGCGGGGUAACGGCCCACCAAGGCGACGAUCAGUAGGGGUUCUGAGAGGAAGGUCCCCCACAUUGGAACUGAGACACGGUCCAAACUCCUACGGGAGGCAGCAGUGAGGAAUAUUGGUCAAUGGGCGAGAGCCUGAACCAGCCAAGUAGCGUGCAGGAUGACGGCCCUAUGGGUUGUAAACUGCUUUUAUAAGGGAAUAAAGUGAGUCUCGUGAGACUUUUUGCAUGUACCUUAUGAAUAAGGACCGGCUAAUUCCGUGCCAGCAGCCGCGGUAAUACGGAAGGUCCGGGCGUUAUCCGGAUUUAUUGGGUUUAAAGGGAGCGUAGGCCGGAGAUUAAGCGUGUUGUGAAAUGUAGACGCUCAACGUCUGCACUGCAGCGCGAACUGGUUUCCUUGAGUACGCACAAAGUGGGCGGAAUUCGUGGUGUAGCGGUGAAAUGCUUAGAUAUCACGAAGAACUCCGAUUGCGAAGGCAGCUCACUGGAGCGCAACUGACGCUGAAGCUCGAAAGUGCGGGUAUCGAACAGGAUUAGAUACCCUGGUAGUCCGCACGGUAAACGAUGGAUGCCCGCUGUUGUCUGAAUAGGUCAGCGGCCAAGCGAAAGCAUUAAGCAUCCCACCUGGGGAGUACGCCGGCAACGGUGCAACUCAAAGGAAUUGACGGA
rnacentral:rRNA from 2 species